UCCUUUAUUUAUUUAGUAAGCAUGAUAACACAUCAGUCCAGACAGACAGAAGUACCCGCUUGAGAGAGAAAUUUGCAGAAGAAUAAGCAAUAACUUUGCAAAAUGGACUAAAGUGGGCACCUGAUCGCGUUUCACUCCAUUUCAGUGGCUUGGCAGGAGAAAACAGUCGUGCCCGUCUUGUUUACAGGACACCUGACCCUGUCAUCCUGCAGAUGUAAGGAACUUGUUGUGAACCUCCCAGCCACCAGGAUGAUCCCCAUAUCCAGGGAUUUUAUUAAGGACUGUGCAAUAUCACAAUGUUAGGAAUGGAUUCACCAGUUGUUGUUUAUCAUGCAGAUUUGUCUGAACAUUGUAAUUUAUGAAACUCAUUCUUAAAUACAGACUUGAAUUUCUGUCCCAGGGAAUUGCACUAUGUGCACUUCUUCAAUUUAGAUCACAAUGAUUUAAAUGAGGUGUUAGUAAAGGGCUGGACCAAAAACGUGUAAACUCCUGUCCUGUGUAUAAAAACAAUCCUGUGGCGGUCAUGACAAAAUCAUGUAGUGAACAAUCUUAUGAAUAUUGGAGGUUAAUCUCCUGGAGAUGUCACUCACGUGGGAAUGACUUAUUUUCUACAAUGGACUGUGUAUUAAGGACUCGUGCACAGGUACAGAAACAACUAUAAAAGUGUAACAUUUAUUCCAAAUUGCAAGUGAUGCCUUCACGUGUUUUGGUUUUGAGAAAUCAACAGAAGAAAGGCCUCAAUAAUAUGACCAUGCUGUAUUCAUUUAAUUGAAUAUAUAUCCUAUUUGAUAUGCAUUUAAAUAUACUGAACACAAAUAUAAACACCACAUGCAACAAUUUCAACAACUUUACUGAGUUACAGUUCAUAUAAGGAAAUCAGUCAAUUGAAAGACAAUUAUUUUAGCCCUCAUCUAUGGAUUUUACAUGACUGGGAAUACAAAUGUGCAUCUGUUGGUCACAUAUACACUAUAUAUACACACAAGCAUGUGGACACCCCUUCACAUUAGUGGAUUUAUCCACAUCCGUUGCUGAGAGGUGUAUACAGUGCAUUCGGAAAGUAUUCAGACCCCUUGACAUUUCCACAUUUUGUUACAUCCUUGUUCUAAAAUGGAUUAAAUUGCUUUUUUCCCUCAUCAAUCUACACAUAAUAUCACAUAAUU